rnacentral:other from 1 species
AGCUUCCUGGAUUAUUCGAUAGCUGGUGAGAUCCUCGAGCCGAUAUUGAAUAAUUAGGAGAUUUNUGNAAAUCCUGUUGAGCAAGCCUAAAUUAGGAAGCCUGAUGGAUCAAAGAAAUCACCGCCUUGAACCUUACGGUUCAGGGUUACAUCAGUAACGAUUUUCUGGGAAGCUU